rnacentral:rRNA from 1 species
UGAGGAAUAUUGGUCAAUGGACGAAAGUCUGAACCAGCCAUGCCGCGUGCAGGAUGAAUGCCCUACGGGUUGUAAACUGCUUUUAUAUAGGAAGAAACCCCUUUACGUGUAAAGGGCUGACGGUACUAUACGAAUAAGGACCGGCUAACUCCGUGCCAGCAGCCGCGGUAAUACGGAGGGUCCAAGCGUUAUCCGGAUUCAUUGGGUUUAAAGGGUCCGUAGGCGGGAGAAUAAGUCAGUGGUGAAAUCCUGCAGCUCAACUGUAGAACUGCCAUUGAAACUGUUUUUCUUGAGUAUAGAUGAAGUGGGCGGAAUGUGCCAUGUAGCGGUGAAAUGCAUAGAUAUGACAC